AGAGUUUGAUCGUGGCUCAGAAUCAACGCUGGCGGCGUGCCUAACACAUGCAAGUCGAACGCGAAAGUCCCGCAAGGGAUAAGUAGAGUGGCAAACGGGUGAGUAACACGUGGGUGACCUGCCUUCGAGCGGGGGAUAACGUCCCGAAAGGGACGCUAAUACCGCAUAACAUCCUGCCUUUGAAGAGGCGGUGAUCAAAGCUGGGGAUCGCAAGACCUAGCACUCGAAGAGGGGCCCGCGUCCGAUUAGCUAGUUGGUGGGGUAAUGGCCCACCAAGGCCACGAUCGGUAGCCGGCCUGAGAGGGCGGACGGCCACACUGGGACUGAGACACGGCCCAGACUCCUACGGGAGGCAGCAGUGGGGAAUUGUUCGCAAUGGGCGCAAGCCUGACGACGCAACGCCGCGUGGAGGAUGAAGAUCUUCGGGUCGUAAACUCCUUUCGAUCGAGACGAAUUCCUCUGGGGUGAACAAUCCCCGGAGGUUGACGGUACCGAGAGAAG
rnacentral:rRNA from 1 species